rnacentral:rRNA from 1 species
CAACCUGCCGAUAACUCGGGGAUAGCCUUUCGAAAGAAAGAUUAAUACCCGAUGGUAUAAUCAGACCGCGUGGUUUGAUUAUUAAAGAAUUUCGGUUGUCGAUGGGGAUGCGUUCCAUUAGGCAGUUGGCGGGGUAACGGCCCACCGAACCAACGAUGGAUAGGGGUUCUGAGAGGAAGGUCCCCCACAUUGGAACUGAGACACGGUCCAAACUCCUACGGGAGGCAGCAGUGAGGAAUAUUGGUCAAUGGACGAGAGUCUGAACCAGCCAAGUAGCGUGAAGGAUGACUGCCCUAUGGGUUGUAAACUUCUUUUAUACGGGAAUAAAGUUAGCCACGUGUGGCUUUUUGUAUGUACCGUAUGAAUAAGGAUCGGCUAACUCCGUGCCAGCAGCCGCGGUAAUACGGAGGAUCCGAGCGUUAUCCGGAUUUAUUGGGUUUAAAGGGAGCGUAGGCGGGUUGUUAAGUCAGUUGUGAAAGUUUGCAGCUCAACCGUAAAAUUGCAGUUGAUACUGGCGACCUUGAGUGCAACAGAGGUAGGCGGAAUUCGUGGUGUAGCGGUGAAAUGCUUAGAUAUCACGAAGAACUCCGAUUG